GACGAACGCUGGCGGCGUGCUUAACACAUGCAAGUCGAACGAUGAAGCUGGAGCUUGCUCUGGUGGAUUAGUGGCGAACGGGUGAGUAAUACGUGAGCAACGUGCCCCUUUCUCUGGAAUAACUUCGAGAAAUCGGAGCUAAUACUGGAUAUGUGGCGUGACCGCAUGGUCUGCGUCUGGAAAGAUUUAUCGGGAAGGGAUCGGCUCACGGCCUAUCAGCUUGUUGGUGGGGUAAUGGCCUACCAAGGCGACGACGGGUAGCCGGCCUGAGAGGGUGACCGGCCACACUGGGACUGAGACACGGCCCAGACUCCUACGGGAGGCAGCAGUGGGGAAUAUUGCACAAUGGGCGCAAGCCUGAUGCAGCAACGCCGCGUGGGGGAUGACGGCCUUCGGGUUGUAAACCUCUUUUAGUAGGGAAGAAGCGAGAGUGACGGUACCUGCAGAAAAAGCACCGGCUAACUACGUG
rnacentral:rRNA from 1 species